rnacentral:rRNA from 1 species
GAGGAGCUUGCUUUUCUGAUCUAGUGGCGGACGGGUGAGUAACACGUGAGCAAUCUGCCUUUCAGAGGGGGAUACCGAUUGGAAACGAUCGUUUAUACCGCAUAACAUAAUUGAACCGCAUGAUUUGAUUAUCAAAGAUUUAUCGCUGAAAGAUGAGCUCGCGUCUGAUUAGCUAGUUGGUAAGGUAACGGCUUACCAAGGCGACGAUCAGUAGCCGGACUGAGAGGUUGAUCGGCCACAUUGGGACUGAGACACGGCCCAGACUCCUACGGGAGGCAGCAGUGGGGAAUAUUGCACAAUGGAGGAAACUCUGAUGCAGCGAUGCCGCGUGAGGGAAGAAGGUUUUAGGAUUGUAAACCUCUGUCUUCAGGGACGAAAAAAGACGGUACCUGAGGAGGAAGCUCCGGCUAACUACGUGCCAGCAGCCGCGGUAAUACGUAGGGAGCGAGCGUAGUCCGGAAUUACUGGGUGUAAAGGGAGCGUAGGCGGGAUCGCAAGUCAGAUGUGAAAACUAUGGGCUUAACCCAUAAACUGCAUUUGAAGCUGUGGUUCUUGAGUGAAGUAGAGGUAAGCGGAAUUCCUAGUGUAGCGGUGGAAUGCGUAGAUAUUAGGAGGAACAUCAGUGGCGAAGGCGGCUUACUGGGCUUUAACUGACGCUGAGGCUCGAAAGCGUGGGGAGCAAACAGGAUUAGAUACCCUGGUAGUCCACGCCGUAAACGAUGAUUACUAGGUGUGGGGGGACUGACCCCUUCCGUGCCGCAGCAAACGCAAUAAGUAAUCCACCUGGGGAGUACGACCGCAAGGUUGAAACUCAAAGGAAUUGACGGGGGCCCGCACAAGCAGUGGAGUAUGUGGAUUAAUUCGAAGCAACGCGAAGAACCUUACCAGGUCUUGACAUCGUAUGCAUAGCUCAGAGAUGAGUGAAAUCUCUUCGGAGACAUAUAGACAGGUGGUGCAUGGUUGUCGUCAGCUCGUGUCGUGAGAUGUUGGGUUAAGUCCCGCAACGAGCGUAACCCUUACUGUUAGUUGCUACGCAAGAGCACUCUAGCAGGACUGCCGUUGACAAAACGGAGGAAGGUGGGGAUGACGUCAAAUCAUCAUGCCCCUUAUGACCUGGGCCUCACACGUACUACAAUGGCUGUCAACAGAGGGAAGCAAAGCCGCGAGGUGGAGCGAACCCCUAAAAGCAGUCUUAGUUCGGAUUGUAGGCUGCAACCCGCCUACAUGAAGUCGGAAUUGCUAGUAAUCGCAGAUCAGCAUGCUGCGGUGAAUACGUUCCC